AUUGAACGCUGGCGGCAGGCCUAACACAUGCAAGUCGAGCGUGCGGCGGACGGGUAAGUCAUGUCUGGGAAACUGCCUGAUGGAGGGGGCUAACUACUGGCAACGGUAGCUAAUACCGCAUACACUCGGAUGUGCCUAGAUGGGAGUAGCUGGUAGGUUGGGUAACGGCUCACCUAGGCGACGAUCCCUAGCUGGUCUGAGAGGAUGACCAGCCACACUGGAACUGAGACCCGUUCCAGACUCCUACGGGAGGCAGCAGUGGGGAAUAGUGCACAAUGGGCGCAAGCCUGAUGCAGCCAUGCCGCGUGUGUGAAGAAGGCCUUCGGGUUGUAAAGCACGUUCAGCGGGGAGGCGUUACCCGCAGAAGAAGCACCGGCGAACUCCGUGCCAGCAGCCGCGGUAAUUC
rnacentral:rRNA from 1 species